rnacentral:rRNA from 1 species
CCUACGGGUGGCAGCAGUGGGGAAUAUUGCGCAAUGGGCGAAAGCCUGACGCAGCGACGCCGCGUGAGGGAUGAAGGUCUUCGGAUCGUAAACCUCUGUCAGCAGGGAAGAACGGUCACUGUGCUAAUCAGCAGUGAAUUGACGGUACCUGAAAAGAAAGCACCGGCUAACUCCGUGCCAGCAGCCGCGGUAAUACGGAGGGUGCGAGCGUUAACCGGAAUUACUGGGCGUAAAGCGCUCGUAGGCGGUAUGUCAAGUCAAGGGUGAAAUCCCUGGGCUAAACGGGGGAACUGCCUUGGAAACUGGCAGACUGGAGUGUGUGAGAGGAGAGUGGAAUUCCAGGUGUAGCGGUGAAAUCCGUAGAUAUCUGGAGGAACACCAGUGGCGAAGGCGACUCUCUGGCACAUAACUGACGCUGAGGAGCGAAAGCGUGGGUAGCAAACAGGAUUAGAUACCCUGGUAGUC